GAAGUCAGUCAGACAAUCGCCGCGCCCGCGAGGGCGGGGAGGAAAGUCCGGGCUCCGCAGAGCAGGAUGCCGGCUAACGGCCGGGCGCCGAGAGGCGACGGAAAGUGGAACAGAGAGCGGAACCGCCGAUGGCCGGACCGGAGGACCGAAAGGUCGGACGGUCUUCAUUCAGACAGGGCAACCUGGCUGGACGGCACAGGCAAGGGUGAAAAGGUGUACCGGGAGGCGAGAGCCGGCCUGGACGAGCGGGGCGACCCGCUCGCGGUAAGAGCGCACCGCGGACGUGGCGACACGGACGGCAGGCUAAACCCCAUCCGGAGCAAGACCAAAUAGGGGGGCGCCAACGUGGCUCGCGUUGUCCCCGGGUAGGUUGCUUGAGCCUGUCGGUAACGGCAGGCCUAGAGGAAUGAUUGUCCAACGACAGAACCCGGCUUAUCGACUGACUUCCACC
rnacentral:RNase_P_RNA from 1 species